UACGGAGGGAGCUAGCGUUGUUCGGAUAUACUGGGCGUAAAGCGCACGUAGGCGGCUUUGCAAGUUAGAGGUGAAAGCCCGGGGCUCAACUCCGGAAUUGCCUUUAAAACUGCAUCGCUAGAGUUGUGGAGAGGUAAGUGGAAUUCCGAGUGUAGAGGUGAAAUUCGUAGAUAUUCGGAAGAACACCAGUGGCGAAGGCGACUUACUGGACACAUACUGACGCUGAGGUGCGAAAGCGUGGGGAGCAAACAGG
rnacentral:rRNA from 1 species